GAUGAACGCUGGCGGCGUGCCUAAUACAUGCAAGUCGAGCGACCAGACGAGGAGCUUGCUCCUCUGACGUUAGCGGCGGACGGGUGAGUAACACGUGGAUCACCUACCUAUAAGACUGGGAUAACUUCGGGAAACCGGAGCUAAUACCGGAUAAUAUAUUGAACCGCAUGGUUCAAUAGUGAAAGACGGUUUUGCUGUCACUUAUAGAUGGAUCCGCGCCGCAUUAGCUAGUUGGUAAGGUAACGGCUUACCAAGGCAACGAUGCGUAGCCGACCUGAGAGGGUGAUCGGCCACACUGGAACUGAGACACGGUCCAGACUCCUACGGGAGGCAGCAGUAGGGAAUCUUCCGCAAUGGGCGAAAGCCUGACGGAGCAACGCCGCGUGAGUGAUGAAGGUCUUCGGAUCGUAAAACUCUGUUAUUAGGGAAGAACAAAUGUGUAAGUAACUAUGCACGUCUUGACGGUACCUAAACAGAAAGCCACGGCUAACUACGUG
rnacentral:rRNA from 1 species